rnacentral:lncRNA from 12 species
AUGCUGUGGCAGAAGAGCAGAGCUCAGGGAGUGAAAAAUCAUCCCAGGCUGUUUCAUUCUGUUCAAUGGGGAUCACAGCGUUUGUUGUCAUAAAUCUCCCAUUUCCUUACUGGGUGAGGUGUUGCAGGUGGGAUCAGGGAUCAGGCCCUGUGCAAGAAGUAGCUCUUUCCUCUUUAUUUGCAGGAAAUUAUUUUCCUUUUUGUAUGUUCAGACACCUAUUAAUUUUUUAUUUUACUCCAGGUUCUUCCAGGAAGCAAAAUUUACAGCAUCUUUCUCAUACUGAGCUCCUCUGUGCUCAUUUUAA